rnacentral:lncRNA from 1 species
AAUAAUAAUAAUUCUAGACAAUGAAAGAACCAAAAUGCAAUAAUAAUAAUUCUAAAAGCAAUGAAAGAACCAAAAUGCAAGGUGUGCAUUUGACUUCCUGUCCAUGAAACGUCAUGAAGGGAUAUGACCUUAAAAAAGUAAAACAGAAACAUUCAAAUUAUUUUCUGAAAUUCAGUUCCAAUAGUAGGAAUCCCCUCCCUCGAAAAUCAGAACGAGCUACCAAAAGAUCUACUGAAAUACUGAAGUCCAAACACGUGUGAGGGGCUAGCCCAGCAGGCAGCAGCAGCAGUCCAUCUCCAAUUC